ACGGUCCUAAGGUAGCGAAAUUCCUUGUCGGGUAAGUUCCGACCCGCACGAAUGGUGUAACGAUCUGGGCACUGUCUCAACUACCCACCCGGCGAAAUUGUAGUACCGGUGAAGAUGCCGGUUACCUGCGGCAAGACGGAAAGACCCCAUGGAGCUUUACUGUAGCCUGAUAUUGGGUUUCGGAAAUCUAUGUACAGGAUAGGCGGGAGACUGGGAAGUAUGAGCGUCAGCUUAUACGGAGUCGUUGUUGGGAUACCGCCCUUAGGUUUCUGGAAUUCUAACCUGCGACCGUGAAUCCGGUCGGGGGACAUUGUCAGGUGGGCAGUUUGACUGGGGCGGUCGCCUCCGAAAAGGUAACGGAGGCGCUCAAAGGUUGGCUCAGCACGGACGGAAACCGUGCCUCAGAGUGUAAACGCAAAAGCCAGCCUAACUGCGAGGAUGACGGUCCGAGCAGUAACGAAAGUUGGAGUUAGUGAUCCGGCGGUAUGUGAAUGGAAAUGCCGUCGCUCAACGGAUAAAAGCUACCCUGGGGAUAACAGGCUGAUCUCCCCCAAGAGUCCACAUCGACGGGGAGGUUUGGCACCUCGAUGUCGGCUCAUCACAUCCUGGGGCUGUAUUCGGUCCCAAGGGUUCGGCUGUUCGCCGAUUAAAGUGGUACGCGAGCUGGGUUCAGAACGUCGCGAGACAGUUCGGUCCCUAUCUGUCGUGGGCGCAGGAUAUUUGAGGAGCUCUGUCCUUAGUACGAGAGGACCGGGAUGGACGUACCUCUGGUGCACCAGUUGUCAUGCCAAUGGCACGGCUGGGCAGCUACGUACGGAACGGAUAAACGCUGAAAGCAUCUAAGCGUGAAGCCGACUCCAAGAUUAGAUAUCCCAUUGCAUAAGCAAGUAAGACCCCUUGAGGACUACGAGGUUGAUAGGCUGCGUGUGUAAGUGUCGUGAGGCAUUUAGCUUGGCAGUACUAAUAGGUCGAGGGCUUGACCAC
rnacentral:rRNA from 1 species